CAGUCAACGUUAUUCGAAAUCUCGCGAAGUAACGGACGCUGUAACUGACGCGCGCGCGAGCGAGCUCUGUUUAAAACGCGUCGAAACGCACGGUAUUCGCCUCUCAGACGCAUAUUUGAGUUAUAACACAUCGUAAGAUCGGAAAAUAGAUCUAUUUACGCGAUCCGUGUGCUAUUUGUGAGUGUUUUGGAUGGAGGAGCAGACGGUAAAUCAACUGGACAACCUGCUGCUUCAGUUAGGUAUAGAAACACGAGAGCUUGCCCAGAAGAAGGAUGGCCUCAAACAACUAAUACAAAUCUGCGAGUCCAACAUUCAAGAGAAGAAGGAUUACUUGAACACAACUCGCAAGACCCUCAGCAAACUCAGCGAGGAGAUCCAGCAAAAACAAAACACUCGGACGUUCAUCAGAGAAAACACUAAGAAUCUCCAGAGAACAGGACAUCUGCUGCUUCAGUAUGAAAAGACACUGGAAGCCGAGCUAGAGAAGAGACGGGACAGCUAUAAUCAAGACAUGAAAAUCUUCCAGGAGAGAAUGGAGAGCUACAGGAACGUGUUUCAGCAGUAUAAGGAUCAAUACUGUCAGAACUCACUGGCUCAAAAACUGCUGAAGAUUCAAGCCGAGAAUGAGGAAAUCGAGAGGAGAAUCAGAGCAACGGAAGAACAGAUAUCGGAGAAAGAGAGAGAACUGGUGUCAGCACUGGGUGAAGAUGAGCCAGUCACUGAUGCUGCUGACAGUAAGUGUCAAGACAAUGACGUCCCACAAACUGAAAACAGGGAGUCAUUUGAUGAAAUGGACCCUCAUCAAGACCCCAUAAUGCAGAGGCCUGAAGAAUAUGCAGAGGAGCACAUGGCUGCUGAAGGUCCUUCUGAGGAAAAUAAGGAUAAAACAGCAGAAAGUGAAUCUCAAACUGACACAUUUCGCCACAGCCUUUGGACAAAGACUGAAACUGGAGAAGAUCAAAUGCAAGAAGGUGAUCAGAAGCAGUCGGAGGAGGAGGGGAAUAUGAAUGUUUCAUGUGCUUCUGAGCUCAUGGUGGAAAUGUCAGAGGAGGAGGAGGAGGAAGAUCGUUUGGAGGUGACCACAGCAGAUGCUCAGGAGGACACGGUGAAUGAGCGUGGCAUCUGUCCUCCUCCAUCACCGGCUAGAAUAAAAGCCACGCCGACCACCCCCACCUUCUCUCUAAGCAACAGUCCCAGUUCCUCACCUGGACGGCAGGAGAUCUCAGACACCAAGUCGCCCGCUUUUGUCUUCUCCAUGAAUUCUGGUCCAAGCACACCUGCAUUCUCUAAGCUGGGCUGUGAUUUUGCUGCAGAAGAGGCAUCUCCAUUUAACUUCACAAGCUCCUAUUUCAGCGACAGGAAGUCACCAGGAUUGGCACCCAAGUUCUCAGGUUUCCUGUUCGAUGAAGCCGAGAGUCGUCAAGAGGAGUUUUCCUUCUCGUUUGGGACGGUGAGCCCUCGGCAGAACUCUUCCACACAGGACACGGCAGGUUCUGCGGAUUCAUUUCCAUUUUCAUUCAGCUUUGGAAAAAUGUAACUUCAUUAACAUUAAUCUCAUCUUGAUAGCUGUACUUCAGAGUCUGUUGAAGUUAAAUUCUAGAUUCGUUCAGAUGCAUUUGUGAUCCUGGUAAUUUUGUUCAAGUUCGUUUCAACAUAUGAUUCACAAUAUUUUAUUUACAAAGGCCCUUUGAGUAUAUGUUUAUACUAAAAUGCAUGCAUUAGUAUAAACAAGUUAAACUUGAACAUUAUAAUUAAUAGAACAUUAGAGGAAUGUUAAUUUCAUGAAUGAUGCUCUUAUUAAAUGUAUUUGGUGCUGCAUAGUAAGCGAAAACAUAACAAUGCUAACUUCAAAGUUCAAAAAAGUCUUUCUAUUUGUUUUCCCGCUACUUACAGUACAACACGGCAAGUAUUUUUAAAUAUAUAUUUUUAUUAUGUAUAUAUUUCUUAAAUGACAGGACAGUCCUUGUAAUAUGACAUUUAGCC
rnacentral:lncRNA from 1 species